rnacentral:lncRNA from 1 species
AUUUCACUGUUCUAGACAUUACGAACUUUUAGGAAGUUAAAAAUACUUUAGAUUAGUAUUCUUAGCAUGUUAUUUAACUUAUAUUUUCACAGCUAAUACUAGAUGAAGUUGGGACACAAAACAGAUCAAAAACUGUUCUCUCCUUAUUACAAUGCUAUUCUACUGAUUAUUUGGGAACACACCAGUGUAACAUCCCUCCCAGCAAACUGUGUGCUGUUUUAAGAGGCUUGGUUCAUGUCUUCUUCACAUCUGCUCAUUUGGCUACAGUUGGACCUAGACUAAGGAGUUACACUGGAAUCAUCCAUGGGACGCCCAAAGAGCUGAUUCAUUUCACAGAGCUGUGUAUGCAGAGAACCCUACAAGAUUUUUGUAAGUUACCCUGAUUUAUAUCUAAGGUUUUUUUUUUGUUUGUUUUUUGGCUAUACUCAAGGCCUAUGGAAAUUCCCAGACCAGGUAUUGAAUUCAAGCUACAGCUGCAACCUAUGCUAGCUCUGGCAAUACCAGAUCCUUAAACCACUGCACUACAGAAGAAAUUCCCAAAUUAUUUUUAAAUUGGAUGCAAGGAAGCAAAUAU